rnacentral:rRNA from 1 species
UACGUAGGGUGCGAGCGUUGUCCGGAAUUAUUGGGCGUAAAGAGCUCGUAGGCGGUGUGUCACGUCGGCCGUGAAAACCUGGGGCUUAACUCUGGGCGUGCGGUCGAUACGGGCAUCACUAGAGUUCGGCAGGGGAGACUGGAAUUCCUGGUGUAGCAGUGAAAUGCGUAGAUAUCGAGGAGGAACACCGAUGGCGAAGGCAGGUCUCUGGGCUGACACUGACGCUCAUGCACGAAAGGCGUGGGGAGCAAACAGG